GCGGCGUGAAACGUUGCAGUAGCCUUGCAAGUUCUUUGCAUAGACUGAACAAAGCUAUAGAAAUGUUUAUUCCUAGCAGCAUUUCAAACCUUUCCAAAAGCCUCUCAUAACCCUUCAAAAUGGCCCUGCUGUUCGCAAUCGAAUAUUCUCCUUGUAGCAGCUCGUUCAGUGUCUCCUGAACUCUAGCAUAGCUUUCAGCGAACCUUUUCAUUGACUUCACUCUGACAGUCUACCUUGUUGAGCAAAGCAGAAGGUUAUUGGGCGUUGAUCUGGCCUCUUCCGCUGCCUCGCUGACUGGAGGAAUUACAUUAGAUGAGGAAAUAGCUUGGCAGUUAUUCGAAGUCUGAGUGGGCGGGCUCAGCCUUAUCCUGAGAAAUCUUGGGGGGGCCUGGCCCCCCCAGCCCUCCGGUUCCGGAGUCCCUGAAGGCAAAAACCCAAAGAUGGAAUCUGAGGGGUUUACUACCGUUGAUAGAAAGCCUUUUCACCGAAACUCGUUUUAGAGAAAGGGCACGGUUUGUCGAAGCACAAUUUAGAGAAAAGGGGGCCUCAGUUUAGAGAAUCGCGGUUUAUGGAAAAGAGUCGAAAAGGCGACUCUGUUUAGCGAAUCAUUGGCUAAACACAGAAUCCAAUCUGACAGAAUCCACUCGGCGGUUUGGCCGUUUGGCCGCGUGCGCAGCGUGCAGUCGUGCGUGGUUGCGUUGGUUGCGUGGUUGGCGUGGUUACGGACGGCUUAUUCGGGCGGUGUUGCAGAGCGGUGUGGUCAUGUGGUCUUGAUAGGCAGUUAAAGGUCUAUAUAAAAAGCAAGCAUCUAGCCAAGGCGGGGUGUGGUGGAGGUGGUGUUGUGUGCAUGAUGUGCGUGCUCGUAGCGCGGCCAGCGCAGCUUUUAGUUCAACAGCGGUAGGCCACAGCGAGUUACCAGCUACACUGUGACGCUCCUUGUGCGGUGUUGCGAUUGACAUGGUUCCUCGUGGUGAGCUGCCAGCGACUUCGUAGGUCCGUCAGAGUGUUGGAAAUUUUGGCUGUUCGACUGAUAGUCGACGCGCAAAAGUGACGUUGAAAUGACGUCGGCAACGGAACUACGGACAACUACUGCUACUGCCUGGCUGCCGACGAGGCUCCUUGUUCGUAAAGGGUAAAAAAAGUGUUGUUUUUUUUUCGGCGUUUUAAAGGACGGCCGCAAAAGGGGUUUGCCAUGUGAAAAGAGCCCGGUAGUGGGGUUUCAGUAACGUUUCUUUUUAUUUGCAGCUGCUAUUUUUUUACUUCAUGUUGCAAAGCAAACAAAGUAAGUAAACGUAGUGCAGCAGUUCCCACCUCUGACAGCUGCCACGAGCUAGAGCAUUCAGACGGCUAGUGCUGCCUGGUAGCUGUAAUAAUCGCACUGAAAUAGUCUCAUAUUUACACUUGUCUCUUCACACUGUUGCAAGAACAUGUGCUGAUUGCAAAUGUUUCACACAUUUGCACGUUUCCCGCAAUCAUGGCAAAAGCAGUAACAGACUAAACAUGCUUUACACGUGACGUCACUCUAGGGAAGGAUGGGGCCCCGCACCAUGCUGGCGGUUGGUUUCACACUGCACGGACGGGCUUAGCAAGGCGUAGGAUGCCACUAACUGCCCGAACAUGCGCUGACAUGUGCACCAUAUUUUCAACAAAGGUGGUGAGCAACGCCCUUGAGGAAGUUAUGAACGGUCAUCAUCAGGCGCUGUUCCACCAACUUGAGGAGGGCUUCUUCCCGCUUCUGGUGGGCUCUGCCUGGUGGCGGGGGUGCCUGACCUCGAAGAAGGGCCUCUGCUACCAGCUCUGUUUCCUUCUGCUCUCGGCGGAGAGCAUCGACGAGCUUGAAAACGCCGGGGUGGCUUACCCCCACCACGCUCUUGAAGCGACGGUGCCAGGCCUCCACGUGAUUGGUAUUGCGUGGCUGGCCGGCGUCAACGAGGUCCGCCACUGACCACACCUAGGGCGGAAAGAGCGGCAGCAUCCGCAUGUGCACGGGACCCAGGGUUUGCAGCUUCCCAAGGAUGAAGUUCUUCUCAAGAAACCCAGGGGCACAGCCACCGCAUCUGAGCAGUGACGAAGGUGCUUGUCAGCCAACAACAAGCAACUGCUACCCCUGCGGAUUGAUCUGAGCAGGAAGUCAAUGCAUGUGUGGUUUGAACCGUGCACACACUGCGUCUGCAAUUUCUAUUUGGACAAUACUUACCGCCCGUAUCUGGUGGUCUGGAAGGAAGGCCAGCGCAAAGAGCAUCCUCAUUUUCAAGCUGAAGUCUGGGUCCUCAG
rnacentral:lncRNA from 1 species